AAAACGCUAAUCUGUUAGAUGAACUCGACUCGGCUGAUGAUAAAAAAAACAUCACUGGGUUCAGUUUGUCCAAUGGUUUUAGCUAAAA